CACGUAGUUAGCCGUGGCUUGCUCCUUAGUUACCGUCAUUAUUCUUCACUAAGAACAGAAGUUUACAAUCCGAAAACCGUCUUCCUUCACGCGGCGUUGCUGCAUCAGGCUUUCGCCCAUUGUGCAAUAUUCCCCACUGCUGCCUCCCGUAGGAGUCUGGGCCGUGUCUCAGUCCCAAUGUGGCCGUUCAACCUCUCAGUCCGGCUACUGAUCGUCGACUUGGUAGGCCGUUACCCCACAACUAUCUAAUCAGACGCGAGUCCAUCCUUAGGCGCCUCAGCUUUGGUAUAUCUACGAUGCCGUUAAUAUACUUUAUAUGGUAUUACCGUCCGUUUCCAGACGCUAUCCCUUUCCUAAGGGCAGGUUACUCACGCGUUACUCACCCGUCCGCCACUCAGUCAUAUCAGAUUUCUUCCGAAGAAUCCAUCAUCAAGCUUCGUUCGACUUGCAUGUGUUAGGCACGCCGCCAGCGUUCGUCCUGAGCCAGGAUCAAACUCU
rnacentral:rRNA from 1 species